rnacentral:rRNA from 1 species
CCUACGGGGGGCAGCAGUAGGGAAUGUUCGGCAAUGGGGGGAACCCUGACCGAGCAACGCCGCGUGAAGGAAGAAGGUAUUCGUAAUGUAAAGUUCUUUUAACAGGGAAGAAAGAGAAAUUUGACGGUACCUGAAGAAUAAGCUCCGGCUAACGACGUGCCAGCAGCCGCGGUAAUACGUAGGGAGCGAGCGUUAUACGGAAUUAUUGGGCGUAAAGGGUGCGUAGAUGGCAUAGUAAGUCUUUUGUAAAAAUGCUGGGCUCAACCCAGUAGGGCAAAAGAUACUGCAAAGCUAGAGUAUGACAGAGGUAAGUGGAACUACAUGUGUAGCGGUGAAAUGCGUAGAUAUCUGUAAGAACACCAGUGGCGAAGGCGGCUUGCUGGGUCGAUACUGACGUUGAGGCACGAAAGCGUGGGGAGCAAACAGGAUUAGAUACCCGUGUAGUC